rnacentral:rRNA from 1 species
CCACUCAUCACCCUGUGACAUACCUAAAACGUUGCUUCGGCGGGAACAGACGGCCCUGUAACAACGGGCCGCCCCCGCCAGAGGACCCCUAACUCUGUUUUUAUAAUGUUUUUCUGAGUAAACAAGCAAAUAAAUUAAAACUUUCAACAACGGAUCUCUUGGCUCUGGCAUCGAUGAAGAACGCAGCGAAAUGCGAUAAGUAAUGUGAAUUGCAGAAUUCAGUGAAUCAUCGAAUCUUUGAACGCACAUUGCGCCCGCCAGUAUUCUGGCGGGCAUGCCUGUUCGAGCGUCAUUACAACCCUCAGGCCCCCGGGCCUGGCGUUGGGGAUCGGCGGAAGCCCCCUGUGGGCACACGCCGUCCCUCAAAUACAGUGGCGGUCCCGCCGCAGCUUCCAUUGCGUAGUAGCUAACACCUCGCAACUGGAGAGCGGCGCGGCCAUGCCGUAAAACACCCAACUUCUGAAUGUUGACCUCGAAUCAGGUAGGAAUACCCGCUGAACUUAAGCAUAUCAAUAAGCGGAGGA